CUCAGAAUGAUCCAGAUGUGCUGCGACGGCCUGAUCUCCGGUCAGAUUCUGACACUAUUCCGCUAUCAGUUGACGUGGAGCGUUUAGAGGACCUGAACGCCUCACGGCUUCAGCUGCUGAUCUUCAUGUAUCUGCAGGACGGAUCCUGGAAACUUGGCUCAGGUCAAAGGUCAUUUCAUCUACAGCCAGCAGUUUUAUAGGAAAUGCUCAGACUGCAGACAGACGAGUUCUGGAGUCACAUAUUUCUCUGAGGAGGAGCAAAACAUUUUUACACAGGAAGGAGCCGAUCUUCUUCAGGGAGGAGGAGCCUGACUCAGAUCUACUCUGCAGCUCAGCCUGAGAACAGCAGCCAUGUUUCCAGCUGCGAUUCUUCACUUAAUUCAGUGAGUGAAACGUUUUCAGGCUGCAACAGGAAAAAGGUCAAAAAAUCAAAAUAAACACAAAAACAGCAAGUUUAACAAACAAAAUGUUUGUAAAAAUGCAUCUGAUCUGCUUUUAUUUUCAUAUAUACAAAGUAAAUGUAAUCACAUCACAGAAUCACAUUAUUCCACAUUUAUCUCCAGCAGUUGGAUAAGAGCAUAGUAAAAAAUUAUUCAUUACAUUUGAUUUUAAAUUAAAACUAAAAGUGAGUCAUUUCCAUUCCUCUGGUUUCU